CGUGACCUAAUACAUGCAAGUCGAUCGAUAGAAUCCAGUCUUGCGUAGGAACGGAAAUAGGAGGCGGAACGGGUGAGUAAUACGUAGCACUGCCACGAGACCGGAUAAUCCCUGGGAAAACGGGGACUAAGACCGGAUAGGUACACAGACCGCAUGGUCUGUGUAUUAAAGGAGAGAGACACUGGUGGAUGGGCUUACGGUGCAUUAGCUGGAUGGUGAGGUAACGGCCCACCAUGGCGAUGAUGCAUAGCCGGGCUGAGAGGCUGAACGGCCACAUUGGGACUGAGACACGGCCCAGACUCCUACGGGAGGCAGCAGUGGGGAAUCUUCCGCAAUGGGCGCAAGCCUGACGGAGCAACGCCGCGUGAACGAUGACGGCCUUCGGGUUGUAAAGUUCUGUUAUACGGGACGAAUGGCGUAGCGGUCAAUACCCGUUACGAGUGACGGUACCGUAAGAGAAAGCCACGGCUAACUACGUG
rnacentral:rRNA from 1 species